ACACAAUUUCACAUUUCUACAAAAUUCAAUAUUCUUUUCUUAUUGUACUUGUAUUUGUGUAUUUCGGCCUUGAGACUCAACGACUCGAUGUUGGAUAUCUAUAGUGGUAUGUACCUAUAUCUGUCUAUAUCUUCCACGAUAUCUAUCUAUAUCUAGAGUGAAAGUUAGCACGACCUAUUUCGAAUAAUAUACGAAAAUUCUUAAUAAAAAAACAAAAACUCAAACUCACGAACACAUUCAGAAACCGAAACUACAAAAUUUUACUCAAUCUAACCCUCAAUAUUAGCAAAAAUAUGAAAGAUUCUUACGUGACACGACCGAGCACAACGGUGUUAUAUUACUAGUGUGAACGAGAGAAAAUAUAAAACACAUCCUUACAACACGUUUGUUAAAAAGGGACAGAAGAUGCCUGGGAAAGCUAUACCAUAAAUGCUCAAAUUAUUGGCACAUUUCCUUUCGAGAUUUAUGAAAAACCACAAUCCCAAACCCCCGAGAAUACGGCUUCGACGGCUGGAUGGAAUGAUUUCGUCGACGGGGUUCACACGAAGAGUUCGGAAACACUAAUAAUUCAAAGUGUAUCGUAACUCCUAGUACUGGAAUAAGAAUAUCGAGUUGCUAGUAUCUUCUGUUCUUGGUCGGAUUACUUUAUAAUUUAACUAGGUACUGGUCUGAUCUUCAGUAGUCUGUGGAGUGGAAUUUUCGGCGGGAAUGCAUGUGAAAUGUUUUUCAUUGUUAGUGCAUAAAUAAUGUACCAUAAUGCUUCUACACAUGCAUUAAGUGUACAAUUAUUAUCUAUGGUGUUUCUUAAAUUCUCAACGAGUUCUAAUGGUGGCAUAUGAACAUUUAGCAUUUGGGAAAAUGCUUAGGAAAAUUGAAAUAAAAUCGUAGGAAGUGGCUUCUUCAUUUCCUCCACAAUGUUUAUUGAACUCUGAGUAAAUUCCAGCCAUUUUGCUAUGAGGUUUCAUCAUUUCAUUUCAUCCAAUAGGUACCUACAAUGUAA